CUUGAAAAGGACCUGCAGAAACUGGAUAUGGAGAAUCAGGUUCUCCUUAGAAAGAUUAAAGAGAAAGAAGAAACUAUUUCAAGCCUGGAAAGAAAGCUGGCCUUGUCACUAGAAGAAGCCAAAGAGGAGGAGGAGUUGAACUAUGUCAUAGAUGAACAGGAGGAAUCCCUGAGGGAGCUGGAAUUAGAGACAGCAAAGCUGGUAAGGAGGUGUCUAGAAAAGGACCAUUGGAUGCAUUUUGUUUGCAUUCUGCUGCUCUCCUUCCCAGGAAUUCAUCCCAUGUUCAUUGCUUCUGUGUCUCAAAUCAUGGCUGUUUAAGAGAGUGUUCUGGGAAUGAAGCACUGGGCAUGGGGGCCGAAGAGGCUUUUUUCCCAGAUCUGCUGUGUGAGCCAGAGUGCACUUUUCCGACUUGAUAGACUAAUCCCCAGAUAUUAUUCCAGUGGCCUGAUGAAGGGGGAGAGAUGACGGCAGAGCAACUUUCUUCCCUUGACUUUCUUUUUCCCCACAGGAGAAAAGUAACGCAAUCCUAAGCAGGAAUGUGGUGGAG
ensembl:lncRNA novel transcript